rnacentral:rRNA from 1 species
GACGAACGCUGGCGGCGUGCUUAACACAUGCAAGUCGAACGGAAAGGCCCUGCUUUUGUGGGGUGCUCGAGUGGCGAACGGGUGAGUAACACGUGAGUAACCUGCCCUUGACUUUGGGAUAACUUCAGGAAACUGGGGCUAAUACCGGAUAGGAGCUCCUGCUGCAUGGUGGGGGUUGGAAAGUUUCGGCGGUUGGGGAUGGACUCGCGGCUUAUCAGCUUGUUGGUGGGGUAGUGGCUUACCAAGGCUUUGACGGGUAGCCGGCCUGAGAGGGUGACCGGCCACAUUGGGACUGAGAUACGGCCCAGACUCCUACGGGAGGCAGCAGUGGGGAAUAUUGCACAAUGGGCGGAAGCCUGAUGCAGCAACGCCGCGUGCGGGAUGACGGCCUUCGGGUUGUAAACCGCUUUCGCCUGUGACGAAGCGUGAGUGACGGUAAUGGGUAAAGAAGCGCCGGCUAACUACGU